CCGGCUUCCAGAACGUUAGACCGUUGAAAACCCAAUAGCAUCCUUACCUUUCGCCCCACUCCAAGUCGACACUUUCCCUUCUUUCCCAGCUCCAUAAAUGCCACAAUCUAUCCCAUCUCUCAGGCAAACAAAUCAAACGCAAAGAAAUUUCAAUUAUUUACAGCUUUUGCGAUGCAUAAGAGUCCUUCAGGAUCACUGGGCCCAGGCGGGCUUGACCUGAGCCAGGUCUUCUUCAAGCCUAUCCACAACACUGCUGCGCCUUCCCCCACCAAGCGCCAUACCAAAAUCUCCGUCAUUGGCACCGGCAAUGUGGGGAUGGCAAUAGCCCAAACCAUCCUCACCCAAGACUUAGCCGACGAGCUGGCUCUCGUCGACGCCAAGGCCGACAAGCUCCGCGGUGAGAUGCUCGACCUCCAGCACGCGGCUGCCUUCCUCCCCCGCACGAAAAUCCAGGCUUCCACUGAUUAUUCCGUCACUGUCGGAUCCGAUCUCUGUAUCGUCACUGCUGGGGCGCGCCAGAUCCCGGGAGAGUCUAGGCUGAACCUGCUGCAGAGGAACGUGAACCUGUUUGAAAAGAUCAUCCCUCCGCUUGCCAAGUACUCGCCCGAUUCCAUUUUGAUGAUUGUUUCCAAUCCGGUUGAUGUUUUGACUUAUAUCGCGUGGAAACUCUCUGGGUUUCCAUCGAAUCGUGUGAUCGGAUCGGGCACAAACUUGGACAGUUCAAGGUUUCGGUUCUUGAUCGCGGACCAUCUCGAUGUUAACGCCCAGGACGUGCAGGCCUACAUUGUUGGUGAACACGGUGAUAGUUCAGUGGCGUUAUGGUCCAGCAUAAGUGUUGGGGGAGUGCCAAUACUGACCUUCUUAGAUAAGCAGCAAAUUGCCUACGAGAAGGAGACUCUGGAGAACAUUCACAAAGCAGUUGUGGACAGUGCAUACGAAGUUAUUAGUCUCAAGGGCUACACUUCUUGGGCAAUUGGCUACUCUGCUGCUAACUUGGCUCGCUCCAUACUUAGAGAUCAGAGAAAAAUCCACCCUGUUUCAGUCCUUGCAAAGGGUUUCUACGGCAUUGAUGGUGGGGAUGUCUUCUUGAGCUUGCCAUCACAGCUGGGUAGAGGCGGAGUCUUGGGGGUCACCAAUGUGCAUUUGACGGAGGAAGAGGCACAGCGACUCAGAGAAUCGGCUAAGACCCUCCUGGAGGUGCAAAGCCAAUUGGGAAUAUAAGUCUAUGGACUUUGCAUGUUACAAUGUUGCAUUUCGUAGGGAGUCUGCAGGCUAGCCUAGUCUUUUUUUUCCCCUUCAUUAUCCUCCAUUUAGAAGAUCAUAUGAAAUGUCUCACUUGUCAACUGCGAGCCUAAUCUGAUUUUAUUUUUGAAUUUUGUACUUCCGAAUUUGCAAAAAAAAAAACUUUUGCUUUUUUCGUCUUCCUGGUUUUUAUAUGAAAUCCAGUAUAAAUUUACUUCAAGACUAAAUUCAAAUGAAACGGUGCCUGGCUUUUUGACAUGUACAAAAGGGUACCUGUAGAGCAUAAUGUUAACUGAAAAUGUGCACGGCUUCUGGGCUGCACGACAAUGCACAUCUACUUUUGUUUCAGGGAGAUGAGAUUAAUGCCCUGUUCUAAAACACUCAUUCUAAAGAGAUUAUUG
rnacentral:misc_RNA from 1 species